AAGCUGGCUCCUUCGGGGUCCGCAUUGUAAUUUGCAGAGGAUGCUUCGGGAGCGGCCCCCAUCUAAGUGCCCUGGAACGGGCCGUCAUAGAGGGUGAGAAUCCCGUCUGGGAUGGGGUGCCCGCGCCCGUGUGAAGCUCCUUCGACGAGUCGAGUUGUUUGGGAAUGCAGCUCUAAAUGGGUGGUAAAUUUCAUCUAAAGCUAAAUACUGGCCGGAGACCGAUAGCGCACAAGUAGAGUGAUCGAAAGAUGAAAAGCACUUUGAAAAGAGAGUUAAACAGCACGUGAAAUUGUUGAAAGGGAAGCGCUUGCGACCAGACUCGCUCGCGGGGUUCAGCCGGCCUUCGGGCCGGUGUACUUCCCCGCGGGCGGGCCAGCGUCGGUUUGGGCGGCCGGUCAAAGGCCCUCGGAAUGUAACGCCCCCCGGGGCGUCUUAUAGCCGAGGGUGCCAUGCGGCCAGCCCGGACCGAGGAACGCGCUUCGGCUCGGACGCUG
rnacentral:rRNA from 2 species